rnacentral:tRNA from 1 species
CGGGGCGUGGUGCAGUUGGUAGCACACUUGAUUUGGGUUCAAGAGGUCGUCGGUUCGAGUCCGGCUGCUCCGA